AUUUCAACUCUAACGUAUAAAUUAUUUUCGCCACUAUGGAAGGUAAGGUUCGAGAAGAAUUGUAAUUCAAACGAUCUCAAGAUGGCGGUAAUAACAAAAGAAAGAAGAGGAGUCUGGUAAAAGUCAUCUUGAUAACUUCUUCGAGGAAAUCGAAAUUGCAUUGUAUAUAAACGCAUGUAUUUCCAAAUUAUUAUAUCUUAUAGGUAGGUCCAAGUACGAUCUAGACUCAAGUUGCAAGCUUGGUUUACGAUGAAUUAAAUAUUGUUUCAGUUAAUGCUUUCCUCUAUUGAAUAGAACUUAACAAAGUUAAACGAAUGCAUUAGGAGUGUAGAAUGAAGAAGAAGGCUUCUAAUAUUACGCUCAUGUGCGAUGUGUGUAACAUGUAACAUUUCAAAGGAAUGCAUGCUCUUAAAAAACAGUAAUUUAGAAACUAUUUUUUUCUUUAAUAUGCAUCAGGAUGCAACAUACAAAAUAAGUACUAAAUGAAGAAUAUAAUGAUAAUACUGAACAUAUUGAUAUUAAUACAUAGUUUCCAUUAUAAAUCGUAUAAAUAAAUACUAUAAUUUAUGAAUUUAAUACAAAA